rnacentral:rRNA from 1 species
UACGUAGGGGGGCUAGCGUUGUCCGGAUUUAUUGGGCGUAAAGAGCGUGUAGGCGGCCAGGUAGGUCUGCUGUGAAAACUCGAGGCUUAACCUCGAGAUGUCGGUGGAAACCAUCUGGCUAGAGUCCGGAAGAGGAGAGUGGAAUUCCUGGUGUAGCGGUGAAAUGCGCAGAUAUCAGGAAGAACACCCGUGGCGAAGGCGGCUCUCUGGGACGGUACUGACGCUGAGACGCGAAAGCGUGGGGAGCGAACAGG